UACGUAGGGGGCGAGCGUUGUCCGGAAUCAUUGGGCGUAAAGCGCGUGUAGGCGGCCCGGUAAGUCCGCUGUGAAAGUCCAGGGCUCAACCCUGGGAUGCCGGUGGAUACUGUCGGGCUCGAGUCCGGAAGAGGCGAGUGGAAUGCCUGGUGUAGCGGUGAAAUGCGCAGAUAUCAGGAGGAACACCAAUUGCGAAGGCAGCUCGCUGGGACGUUACUGACGCUGAGACGCGAAAGCGUGGGGAGCAAACAGG
rnacentral:rRNA from 1 species